GGGGAUGAACCGGUGGGGCUAAUUGGAAGCCUGUUUGGAAUACCAUUUAAGUGGGAGUUGAUUGAGGAAUUAACUUAGGGUUUAAUAAAUUAAAUCCUAUGUAUAUAAAUUAUAAACCUUGCCCUAACUCUUCCCCUCACCGCAGCACACAUCUCUACCCGAAACCCCACUUCUCCUCUUCUCUUCAUCGCCGCCGAACCCUUUCCAUCUGAUUCCCUUCCUCUUCUCCUCCGCCCCUCUUGCUGUGAUCGCCUCUUCAUCGUGUCUUCGUCGCCGACCAAAGGAGCAGCUGCCGGCACCUCUGGAUACCGAAGCAGCUAUCCAUUUCGGACGUUGGUUCAUCACGCCAUUGAUUCAGCGCCGACCAUGGGAGAUUUGGUGAUGCCGAGGCCGUGCACUCGCUCAAAUUCCUUUCUCCUCUAUUCUUCUUACUGUCAUCGUUCAAUCCGUUCACCACCGGUGCUUCUCGUCGCUUGCCCUAGUCGGAUUUCCUCCGCAAGUUGCCAUUUCCGACCACGAGCCUGCAUCAUCCCAUCGAUCCGUGCCCUAACUUACAUCACCGACGCUGUGCUCUGGUUGUGCUUGCCACAGUGCUGAUCAUCGAUCAUCGAUGUCGACAUUCCAGGCGGGCUGGUCGUCACUAGUGAGGCUCUUCCACCACCAUGGGUCGUCCUCUGCCCUAAUGUGAGCUUGACCUUGCCUUGCUGCCCCAAUUGGUCCUCUAGUGGUUAUGGAGCAGCUCCAUCAGAUCAUUGGUGAGGGUACUUGGAUUGAAAAUCCACUUGCAGGUGAAAUGUGAAGGUUUUAGAGCUGGAUUGAGGGCUUUGAUUCAUGGACUUGGAUUCGAGAUGUGCGUCUCGACGUGGGAUUAAUUUGGCAUGAUCGACAGAUAUAGGCGGG